GAUGAACGCUGGCGGCGUGCCUAAUACAUGCAAGUCGAGCGAACGGACGAGAAGCUUGCUUCUCUGAUGUUAGCGGCGGACGGGUGAGUAACACGUGGAUAACCUACCUAUAAGACUGGGAUAACUUCGGGAAACCGGAACUAAUACCGGAUAAUAUUUUGAACCGCAUGGUUCAAAAGUGAAAGACGGUCUUGCUGUCACUUAUAGAUGGAUCCGCGCUGCAUUAGCUAGUUGGUAAGGUAACGGCUUACCAAGGCAACGAUGCAUAGCCGACCUGAGAGGGUGAUCGGCCACACUGGAACUGAGACACGGUCCAGACUCCUACGGGAGGCAGCAGUAGGGAAUCUUCCGCAAUGGGCGAAAGCCUGACGGAGCAACGCCGCGUGAGUGAUGAAGGUCUUCGGAUCGUAAAACUCUGUUAUUAGGGAAGAACAUAUGUGUAAGUAACUGUGCACAUCUUGACGGUACCUAAUCAGAAAGCCAUGGCUAACUACGUG
rnacentral:rRNA from 1 species